UCCCUUAUCAGCUUCAUGUGGAAGUGAUUCACUUCUGCUGAUGACUUUGGUAAGCUGACUCAGGCUCAGCUGUGCAGCCCAGCCAGUAGGAGGGAAGGAGGCAGAAUGCUAGUGCUGAAAACAGGAGAGGAAGAAAAAUGGUGGUGCUGAACUCUGGAAUAAUUAGGGCAUCAUCCCUUGGUAAUGUUUCUGCUUCUGCUCUAUGAAGCUUCAGAAGCACAUCUUGAGUCCAGCCUUGACCAGCAGCACAUCCAUCUCUGAACCUGCCAGGGACUGACUCCUCUGGACGUGGAGGAAGCUUCCAACAGCUUCUCACAGAAACUAACCAAGGUUUUUGAAUAAAAAU